UAGGGAAUCUUCCACAAUGGGCGAAAGCCUGAUGGAGCAACGCCGCGUGUGUGAUGAAGGGUUUCGGCUCGUAAAACACUGUUGUAAGAGAAGAAUGACAUUGAGAGUAACUGUUCAAUGUGUGACGGUAUCUUACCAGAAAGGAACGGCUAAAUACGCGCCAG
rnacentral:rRNA from 1 species